AAAAACUAUGCACAGAACUGAAUGGAUAGCCAUACAAUUCAUUCAUAACAAAAGGGAACAUACACAUUAAAAAGACCAUAGGCUCGUCCAUUACAAAGUAACACAGGGAUCAAUACAUUCUGAAGAAGAUCCACCCAGCUGCAAUAAUUAUGUUGGAGUAACUCUACCUAGGAGCAUGGAUGACAAGUGCUCAACCUAUAUCUUAGCUGCCGAUAACAAGCUGAAAGCACAAAGAUUAGUUUGUUUCAUCUGAAGAUGGUUCUCCACCCUGUCAAAAAUAUAAUGAGGUUUGAAUUUCACCAUGGUAUUCCAAUUACUUCUCAGAUGUUGGAUAUAAAAGACCUGGUCCACUUGGGAAGAAAAUACAAAAGGAUCAUCCUCUAACUUCUCCCCUAUAUGUACUUUUUGGGAGAAGUUCACAUGAGUGAAUCCAAACUCAUCUCUUACAAUACCAGCUUUGUGAUGAACAUCAUAAGAAUCACAUUUGAAGAACACCACCUUGUAAUCUCUGUAUGACAAUUCGAAGAUGUCAGAUAGCCGGCCAUAAUAGGACACACCAUUUUCAGCAAGGUUCACGACACCACUAUUUUGUGUCACUCGUCCUGUAUCACGGCUGAU
rnacentral:lncRNA from 1 species